AUGAAGCCCAGAUCACACAUCUGUUCAAAUCCAACGAGAACCAACAGUCAGAAUCGCUCAGCCCCAUCACGAAGUCCUUCCGUGCAAACACCUCGAUCAACCCCCAGAAUCGCCGCUUCAACAAUCGCUCCACCAGCCGCCCCUUUUGCACCGUGCCACCGCAAAUUCACUGUUGGUAAUCCUUUUCCCUUUUUCAUGUUUGCGUUUUCACCUUUGGAUAAUAGUGGCUACUGUUUUUUCUAUUUGAAGUGA